GACGGUAGAAGACCAUAUCUGCUU
rnacentral:siRNA from 1 species